GCUUCCGUAUAACAAAGUCCAAAGAAUGCAAAAAAUAUUUACCAGAAAAAAAAAGUGUAUUGUAUAUACAAGAACAAAGUGCACCAACAUCUAUAUAAAUAUAAACACGUCCAUCAAAAGAGAUAUAGCCUAUAUAAUAUAUAUAAGGCAUUUACAAAAUGAGGCACGAGCCGCUGUUUGGUAAACUAAAUGAAACACGCUUUACCAACCACGCAAACGACAGCAUCGCGUCUAAAGACAACCCUACAAGGCAGGAAGUGCCUCUGAUAGUCUGGACAUAAUUUUUUAUCCAAUCACGCGACAUGUUGCUCCCUUUAACCAAUGGUGAGUGGCUCAGGUGUUUUCUGCACAGGUGCUCCUCUCAUCCUUUGCAAGACGGCAGGAGAAAAGGGACGCUCACCUUUAUGACGGGGUAUGCGCAGCAUCUUCCAGCAGACCUGACCUGGAGGCGCGCCCGACCCGCGUGAACCUGCCGAAGACAAAGUUAAAAUGACCGCGAAAGCGCACCCGACUCUUAAUGACUUAAACAGAUUCUCAUGAUGAAAAUAACCCAAAUGUAACGAGGACACGAGUGUUUGCUGCCUCUCUGCGCCUUGUUCAGUUGCUAUGGUUGGCUGAGGACGGCGACACUCUGACCGUUUUGCCCUCCAGCCGCGCUGCUGUGCAGUUCAGGAUCAGCAUUGCAACAUACAGUGACUGUCGACAA